rnacentral:rRNA from 1 species
UACGAAGGGUGCAAGCGUUAAUCGGAAUUACUGGGCGUAAAGCGUGCGUAGGCGGUUCCUUAAGUCUGCUGUGAAAUCCCCGGGCUCAACCUGGGAAUGGCAGUGGAUACUGGGAGGCUAGAGUGUGUCAGAGGAUGGUGGAAUUCCCGGUGUAGCGGUGAAAUGCGUAGAGAUCGGGAGGAACAUCAGUGGCGAAGGCGGCCAUCUGGGACAACACUGACGCUGAGGCACGAAAGCGUGGGGAGCAAACAGG